CCUUGUUAACCACUCACAAUCUCUAUACACACUUCACCACACUCAGAAUAUUCCACACAUAUCAUAAAGAGAUAUGCUAGAGUAUGAACCAAAGCAUGGAUCCACAUACAUAAAGUACCAUGGUGACUCAGGUUUAAGGAUCACUUGCACCACUCUCACUGGAGAACCAUCUUUUGACAUGUUAAUAAGGCUCUAUCAGAUGUUCUCUUUAUGGAUCAAUUCAGUAAACUCAUUCUUCAAUGAGCACCUACAUCUCUAUAUUAUUGUCACCACAU
rnacentral:lncRNA from 1 species